rfam:Ipomoea nil DNA, scaffold: scaffold1099, cultivar: Tokyo-kokei standard.
GUCUGGGUGGUGUAGUUGGUUAUCACGUUAGUCUCACACACUAGAGGUCCCUAGUUCAAACUUGGGCUCAGUCA